rnacentral:rRNA from 1 species
AUACGGAGGGUGCAAGCGUUAUCCGGAAUCAUUGGGUUUAAAGGGUCCGUAGGCGGGCAAUUAAGUCAGAGGUGAAAUCCCACAGCUCAACUGUGGAACUGCCUUUGAUACUGGUUGUCUUGAGUUAUAGUGAAGGAGAUAGAAUGUGUAGUGUAGCGGUGAAAUGCAUAGAUAUUACACAGAAUACCGAUUGCGAAGGCAGUCUACUAACUGUUGACUGACGCUAAUGGACGAAAGCGUGGGGAGCGAACAGGACUAGAAACCCUAGUAGUCC